rnacentral:rRNA from 1 species
AGCGAACGCUGGCGGCAGGCCUAACACAUGCAAGCCGAACGGAUCCUUCGGGAUUAGUGGCGGACGGGUGAGUAACACGUGGGAACGUGCCCUUUGGUUCGGAACAACUCAGGGAAACUUGAGCUAAUACCGGAUGUGCCCUUCGGGGGAAAGAUUUAUCGCCAUUGGAGCGGCCCGCGUCUGAUUAGCUAGUUGGUGAGGUAAAGGCUCACCAAGGCGACGAUCAGUAGCUGGUCUGAGAGGAUGAUCAGCCACAUUGGGACUGAGACACGGCCCAAACUCCUACGGGAGGCAGCAGUGGGGAAUCUUGCGCAAUGGGCGAAAGCCUGACGCAGCCAUGCCGCGUGAAUGAUGAAGGUCUUAGGAUUGUAAAAUUCUUUCACCGGGGACGAUAAUGACGGUACCCGGAGAAGAAGCCCCGGCUAACUUCGUGCCAGCAGCAGCCGCAGUAA